rnacentral:misc_RNA from 1 species
GAUGAAGAACGUAGCGAAAUGCGAUAAGUAAUGCGAAUUGCAGAAUUCAGCGAGUCAUCGAAUCUUUGAACGCAUAUUGCGCCCCUUGGUAUUCCAUGGGGCAUGCCUGUUCGAGCGUCAUUUGUACCUUCAAGCUUUGCUUGGUGUUGGGUGUUUGUCUCGCCUUUGCGUGUAGACUCGCCUUAAAAUAAUUGGCAGCCGGCGUAUUGAUUUCGGAGCGCAGUACAUCUCGCGCUUUGCACUCAUAACGACAGCGUCCAAAAGUACAUUUUACACUCUUGACCUCGGAUCAGGUAGGGAUACCCGCUGAACUUAAGCAUAUCAAUAAGCGGAGGA